GAAACUAGAUGGAGAGGAAAGUCUGAAGAGGAAAUCUUAUAGUGAUGUUGAGAACAAUACGGUGAAAAAACCAAAGAAAGUCUGCCGAACCUCUCCUCGCAAUACUUUUUCCAAGACUCCCGAUCAAUCUGAGCUAGAGAUACCCGAAUCUUGCGAUAAGACUAAAGUUGACGGGGAGCCUGUGAAUGAGUCUGACUUAGAUUCCGUGGAGAUGGAAUCUUGUGCUUGGAACGCAUCAGCUAAAGAUGCUCUUCACGAGCAUGGGAACAAGUCGCCUGAGAAUGACGACAUACGCCUCAGAGUAAAAGAUGGACCUAAUUUUUCGAGGAGUCCAGGUCAUUUCGGUGACAUGCACGAUUCCACAUCUCACCAUUCACCAAAUAUCUCAGAGAAAUCCUCAGAAACGGAUGACAACAAUAGUCCUUUAUUCAGUCCUCGCCAACACAACGACCUUUCUUAUCCUGAAAAUAAGUCGAAUGGACAUUUUUCUAA